GGGCAACAAGACAUAAUCACUUAUUCCUUUUUCAACCUCAGCACCAUCAACAUUUAUUCGCAAUCAAGGUAGUGCAUUCUGCUAUACUUGUACAAAGGCAAGUCCUAACUUUUCUAAUCAAGUUAACUGUAAAGGAACCAGGUCCGC